UCAGGACGAACGCUGGCGGCGUGCCUAAUACAUGCAAGUCGAGCGGACAGAUGGGAGCUUGCUCCCUGAUGUUAGCGGCGGACGGGUGAGUAACACGUGGGUAACCUGCCUGUAAGACUGGGAUAACUCCGGGAAACCGGGGCUAAUACCGGAUGCUUGUUUGAACCGCAUGGUUCAAACAUAAAAGGUGGCUUCGGCUACCACUUACAGAUGGACCCGCGGCGCAUUAGCUAGUUGGUGAGGUAAUGGCUCACCAAGGCGACGAUGCGUAGCCGACCUGAGAGGGUGAUCGGCCACACUGGGACUGAGACACGGCCCAGACUCCUACGGGAGGCAGCAGUAGGGAAUCUUCCGCAAUGGACGAAAGUCUGACGGAGCAACGCCGCGUGAGUGAUGAAGGUUUUCGGAUCGUAAAGCUCUGUUGUUAGGGAAGAACAAGUACCGUUCGAAUAGGGCGGUACCUUGACGGUACCUAACCAGAAAGCCACGGCUAACUACGUGCCAGCAGCCGCGGUAAUACGUAGGUGGCAAGCGUUGUCCGGAAUUAUUGGGCGUAAAGGGCUCGCAGGCGGUUUCUUAAGUCUGAUGUGAAAGCCCCCGGCUCAACCGGGGAGGGUCAUUGGAAACUGGGGAACUUGAGUGCAGAAGAGGAGAGUGGAAUUCCACGUGUAGCGGUGAAAUGCGUAGAGAUGUGGAGGAACACCAGUGGCGAAGGCGACUCUCUGGUCUGUAACUGACGCUGAGGAGCGAAAGCGUGGGGAGCGAACAGGAUUAGAUACCCUGGUAGUCCACGCCGUAAACGAUGAGUGCUAAGUGUUAGGGGGUUUCCGCCCCUUAGUGCUGCAGCUAACGCAUUAAGCACUCCGCCUGGGGAGUACGGUCGCAAGACUGAAACUCAAAGGAAUUGACGGGGGCCCGCACAAGCGGUGGAGCAUGUGGUUUAAUUCGAAGCAACGCGAAGAACCUUACCAGGUCUUGACAUCCUCUGACAAUCCUAGAGAUAGGACGUCCCCUUCGGGGGCAGAGUGACAGGUGGUGCAUGGUUGUCGUCAGCUCGUGUCGUGAGAUGUUGGGUUAAGUCCCGCAACGAGCGCAACCCUUGAUCUUAGUUGCCAGCAUUCAGUUGGGCACUCUAAGGUGACUGCCGGUGACAAACCGGAGGAAGGUGGGGAUGACGUCAAAUCAUCAUGCCCCUUAUGACCUGGGCUACACACGUGCUACAAUGGACAGAACAAAGGGCAGCGAAACCGCGAGGUUAAGCCAAUCCCACAAAUCUGUUCUCAGUUCGGAUCGCAGUCUGCAACUCGACUGCGUGAAGCUGGAAUCGCUAGUAAUCGCGGAUCAGC
rnacentral:rRNA from 1 species